GAUCCCGUAGCAUAUGGUAUGUGUCCGCGCUCCUUGAGGGUUUUCGAGUGCUAGCUUGCUUGAUGCGGAAGAACCCGGUUCGAUUCCGGGCGGGGUCA